CCUAUCUUCUAUUCUCCUGCCCUGAGGCCCUCUGGGCAAGUUCUCUGCACAGGGCCGGUUGACGAGGGCUAAACAUUGACCCUGGUCUUCUCCUCUCCCCUCUAGGUGGUGCUGCCCCAUCAGCCCCUGGCGACCUACACCACAGUGGGUAAGAGUGCCCCGUAGCCCUGGUGGCCCCCAGGCCUCUCAUCUGGGUGGCAUCUGAAGUUCUGUAAUUUCCUUCUUCCCACAGGUCCUUCCUGCCUGGACAUGGAAGGUUCUGUGUCUGCAGUGACAGAGGAGGCUGCCCUGUGUGCCGGCUGGCUCUCCCAGCCCACCCCGGCCACCCUGCAGCCCCUGGCCCCAUGGACACCUUACACCGAGUAUGUGCCCCAUGAAGCUGUCAGCUGCCCCUACUCAGCUGACAUGUAUGUGCAGCCCGUGUGCCCCAGCUACACGGUGGUGGGGCCCUCCUCAGUGUUGACCUAUGCCUCUCCGCCACUCAUCACCAAUGUCACGGGUCCAGUGUCAUCCUGAUGCACCUGCCCCUGCCUCCAAGCACCUUCUAUGAAAGGCCUGCAGAAGCCCUUCCCUCCCAGGUCCACCUGCCUACCCAGCAAACCAAUUUUGGAGCCUGGAUGAUGAUAGAUAAGAAGGAGUUAAUCCAACACCUCUCCCAGGCAACUCAUUUCCAUGUCAGAGGCCUGGGGUGAGGGUGGUGGGUGGAGGACUCACGGCUCCCACCCAUUUCAUUACCAAGGAUUCCUUUCAUUAUUUAUCCCCUUUCAUCAUUCCCACCUUCUGCUUUGAAAGGUUCUGUAUAUCAAACAAACAGUAUUCAUUAAGAAUUGAUUUAUUUGUUUUGCCAUUUUGUAAAUUAAGUCAUCAAAGCUGGCUAGAGCUGUAAGUCCACACUCCUGAUCAGCAGAGAUAAGACCUGCUGUGUGCUGAGUGGAAGUAAUUGUAUUCCCGAGCAAAGAAACCUAUAGUUACAGGUUUAUGACUGGGAAAUGUAGAAUUUCCAUCUGGAUUUUUGAAAAGCUGGGAAUCAUGAGGCUUUCCCGGAUUCUGUCUGGUUUCAGGACACUGGGAUGGGGACCACUGGCUUAAGUCAAAGGAGAGGAAGUGAUUAUGCUGUGGUGGGGUGUACACCUCAGCCCGGAUUUCAGGAGGCUGGAAGGCCUCUGAGACCAUUUCCAGCUCUAUCAUUCUGUGCAAAAACACCCUAAAGCCUUGCUACUCAAACUCUUGUCCCUGGACUGGCCACAUUGGAGUCCCCCUGAGAUCUGAUUAGACAUGCAAAAUCCCAGGCCCCACUCUAGACUUCCUGUGCCAGAAGCUGCGUUCUAACAAGAUCCCCAGGAGGUUGAGAAAAGCCCUGCCCUAAAUGAUUCUAACAGUUUGCUGUCAAGACACAGUGACAGUAGGAGGGAUAUAUGACAGGGGAGACAGGGAUGGUAGGGGGAGAUUUUGGCCUCCCUCUCAUGAAUCCAUGCAGAGAGCAUCCUCUUCUAUCUGCUUUCCUCAAGUGUGAAAGAAAAGUAAGAAUCCAGGUCCCGCCCCUGUUGCAGGCCUGAUCUGAGGUUUGUGAGGGCAGUCGCCGUGCAGGUGAGAGGUAUGACUCGCAGAGCAUUCAGGAGAAGGACUCUAACACUUGGAGGGUCAUGGGGGGUGCCCAUAAGUGGGAUGGCCAUGGAGAUCAGCUCAGAGACAGAGGACGAUGAGGAUGUGGAAGGCACCAGGCAGCAGCAGGAAGGAAGGCCAAGUUUGCUGACAAAGCAGUGCUUCCCCCAUCUGGGGAUGGCCAGGCCUCCCCAUGCUGGCCACCACUAGAGGGGUGGGAGGUGAUGGAGCUGUGUUGGCCCAAGGGGACCUCCAAAGCUGUUGUGUGGAGCCCGGACUGUCUUUGUGUCUGGGCAGGACAGUGGCCACCUUCCAGAUACAGCUUCCAGGCUGUGGUUUAACAUAUAUUUUCACAGAUUUUAAGAUGCAUAUAUUUUUAAUGUUUUAAGAUCUCUGAAAUAGAAAUGAAUUUUGUAUUCAACGAAACCUGGAAAAUCCUCUCUAAUUGGCCUAACCCAAUGAGUUCAUUACUGUUUGUAUUCUAUUUCGUAGAUGAGAAAAAUGAGCCUUCUGAGCAGGAAGUGGCCUGAGCAAAGACAUAUAGCUAGGAAGGGUCAGGAUUGGGGCUGCGGUUGAAGUCAGCCUGGCUCCUCCCUUGGGGAAGACUUUGAGCAGGAGGAGGUGGAGCCCCAUGAAGUGAGAAACCAGGAAAGGGCAGAAUUGAAGGGGGAGAUGGAGACCCCUCUAAGGGCAAGGAUGGGUGGAUGGGUCUCCUGGGGCUGCUAACCCUCUGUCACGUGUUUUCCUGUCACAGACAAGAAGCUCCGCCACGCCCGCAGUGGGGCCCCCGCUGGAGGGCCCAGAGCACCAGGCACCCCUCACCUAUUUCCCGUGGCCUCAGCCCCUUUCCACACUACCCACCUCCACCCUGCAGUACCAGCCUCCGGCCCCAGCCCUACCUGGGCCCCAGUUUGUCCAGCUCCCCAUCUCUAUCCCAGAGCCAGUCCUUCAGGACAUGGAAGACCCCAGAAGAGCCGCCAGCUCGUUGACCAUCGACAAGCUGCUUUUGGAGGAAGAGGAUAGCGACGCCUAUGCGCUUAACCACACUCUCUCUGUGGAAGGCUUUUAGGCGUGGCUCCCACCUGAGUCCUGUUCCCUGAAACUGGGAUUUUAAAAUGAGCCUGGAAUUGAGCCCCAGGUUCAUGCUUGUUUGGAGUAGUCAUUUCAUGACUACACUUUCUACGCACAGCUAGAAUUGUAGACCUGUAAACCUUCCUUCCCUUCUUCCUUCCCCUCCCUCCCUCACUUCCUCCCUCUCCCCCAUCCUUCCAUUCUUCCCCUCCCUCCCUUCUUCCUUUCCAACCCCUUCCUUCCUUUUCCUCCCUCCCUUCCUUCCCUCCUUCCCUUCUCCCUUUCCAACCCCUUCCUUCCUUUUCCUCCCUCCCUUCCUUCCCUCCUUCCCUUCUCCCUUUCCUUCUUUACCUCCCUCCCUCCCUCGCUUCUUCUCUCUUUCUUACUUCUUUUUUCAAUUCUGUUCCAUUUUGGGAGGUAAUUAUAGGGAUUUUAGCAAUAACAUUUUAUGUCAAAUGUUGCCAAGUCUGUGGUCCAUGGGCUUUCAUUUCUGUCACAUUUCAUUUCUUGGAAAAGGCCUCCUUCCUCCAGUGCCUGCUGAACCAUCUUAGGGUCACUCACACCCUCUGUAAUUUUAAGAUGUAUGUGGUGGCCGGCGGGAAGACCAGCCCCGACAGCACCUCCUGAGAAAGUCAGCCAAGGGCCUACCCUGAUGCCAGAGUCCUUGAGCUGUCAGUUCCCACAGUUGCUCCUUUGUUUGCUCUUCUCAGCCUCGGCCAGAUUUACAGUCCAGGCAGCAAAAUCUCAAGGCCUGGGGCUCAGAGUAGUAAGGGGUGGGAAGUGGGUGGCAGGGAGAAAAGAACAUCAGGGUGGGUGGGGACAGGCCAGUGACGAAGAGAGGGACAGAGGAGGGAUGGGAACAGGCUGUGCAUCUUAGUUGGAGAGAGGGGUGUGGGAGGAAGCUUGAGUUUGAUGCAGGGAGGAGGAAGGCUGAGGAAUGACUUGGCUCCAGAUUACUUGGUUAUUAAGAAGAACAAUAAACUAAAGGAAAGCAUUGCUUGAAGAGAUGGUUUUGCUGCUCUCCUUGAGGAUACGUGCAAGGGAAGUUGGGCUGUUGUAAACAGGGUGAAGGGUGUGUUUGGUCGGCCAUUUCUGUCUCACCUCUAGGCCCUCUGCUGGUGCUGUGGAGGCCAAGACCCCAUUAAGCCUAAAGGUGAUGGGUCCUCGCCUAGGCUUAGUGCUACCAUGUGGGUUUUGUUUCUUUCCUUCCUUCCUUCCUUCCUUCCUUCCUUCCUUCCUUCCUUCCUUCCUUCCUUCCUUCCUUCUUUCCUUCCUUCCUUCCUUCCUUCCUUCCUCUCUCUUUCUUUCUUUUUUUUGGUUUUUUUUGGGACGGAGUCUCACUCCAUUGCCCAGGCUGGAGUACAAUGGUGCGAUCUUGGCUCACUGCACCUCUGUCUCCCAAGUUCAAGUGAUUCUCCUGCCUGAGCCUCCCGAGUAGCUGGGAUUACAGGUGCAUGCCACCAUGCCUGGCUAAUUUUUGUAUUUUUAGUAGAGACGGGGUUUCACCAUGUUGGCCAGGCUGGUCUCGAACUCCUGACCUUGUGAUCCGCCCGCCUCAGCCUCUCAGAGUGCUGGGAUCACAGGCGUGAGCCACCGCACCCAGCCUUUUACCAUGUGGGUUUCUUUAGUGUCUUAAAAGCGUCCAUAAGCCACCAUUCUGUGGAACCAAGGCCCCCUCCACGCAAACACCCUCCCUCCUGGGGACCUCUGGAGCCUCAGCCAGAAGUACCAUUAGGUUUAAUUUUAAUUUGUUUUGCUGGAGAAACAUCAGGUUUGUAGGAGACUGAGUUGUUAGCAGGUGUGCUUAGCUCUUGAUAGUGAACGUGUACCUUGGGAACUGGCUCACCCACCUGCUAAUAGCACCAUCGUCACUAUUAAGCAGACAUUUCAGUUGGUAGAAUCCAUGUAGAAGUCAUGGACUUUUCUGGGAAAUGACUUUUCUGGGAAAUGACAGUUUCUUUGACAUAUUUUCUUUGCCCACUUUAAAUAAAAACUCUGGAG
rnacentral:lncRNA from 1 species